rnacentral:rRNA from 1 species
UACAGAGGGUGCGAGCGUUAAUCGGAAUUACUGGGCGUAAAGGGUGCGUAGGUGGCAUAUUAAGUCAGAUGUGAAAUCCCCGGGCUUAACCUGGGAAUUGCAUAUGAUACUGGUAAGCUAGAGUGUGGAAGAGGGAAGUGGAAUUUCCGGUGUAGCGGUGAAAUGCGUAGAUAUCGGAAGGAACAUCAGUGGCGAAGGCGACUUCCUGGUCCAUUACUGACACUGAGGCACGAAAGCGUGGGGAGCAAACAGG